rnacentral:misc_RNA from 1 species
CCGAGUUAUUACUCCAAACCCUUUGUGAACCUUACCAAUUACUGCUGUUGCCUCGGCGGACGGCCGGGAGGGCACCCCCCCGCGGGGUCGCCCGACCGCCCCCGCCGGCAGCACCAAACUCUUGAAUUUAUAGCGAAACUACUUCUGAAUAACAAAAACAAACGAAUCA